UAGCGUCAAUGAGAUCAUAGCCGGGGC
rnacentral:sRNA from 1 species